AGUUUGUUUGUGCAGAGUUAUUUUCCGUCAAUGACUAAGAUCGUUGGUACUCUCGUAUAGAAAUCGAGGUCUGUGGAAGUUAUUUUGCGGCGUCUCAUGGCCGGAAUUUCUGGUAAUUUUACAAAAACAAGGAUUUUCUCCCACAUCCAAAACUCUAAACUGUCAGAUCCUUCGUCAAGCCUCAUCUCUUGGUUGUUCGAUUCCGGUUUGCAUAUACAUGUCUCUCCAUUAAAACAUACAUCUUCGUAUUGAAUCAACUAAUUCAAGAUACAACUUUUAUUGUUCGAUUCUUUAUAGCGAUUUUGGUGCUGCAGGUAGUUAAGUGAACGGUGAACCGAUGUUGAAAAGAGUGAAUUCUCAGAAGAUGAAGUACAUGGUAACUACCUUAUUAGUGGGUAGGAAAUCUAUUAUGUUUAUGCUUUUUUUUUUUUAUUUAAGAUCAGCCAAGAUUAGUUACCUCAAAUCUUACACAUGUUUAUUUCUUUUCCUUUCGCAAUAAUAAGUUUGAAAAUUUGGGAAAUUUGUAGGCUUUUUAAAGAAUGUUUAUAGUAACCUAAAUUUAUAAAUGUGAUAUUUCGUUAUCGCUAUUGUUAUAAUAAAAGGAUGGUGAGAAGAAUAAGCAUUGAAGUUCGAUUGAGUAAUGGUGUUGAUAAUCUUAACCAAGGAGUUGAAAGUGGAAGUGAUGAUUUUCGGGAGGUGGGAGACGAGAAUGAUUCGUCAUAACAUGAGGCGAAUCGUGAGCUAAGACAUCUAAUGUUGAUACACCUUUCAUUAUAGAUUGGUCCUCGUAACACCAUUGGGAAUGUUCUUUUAAAUGAGGAAAUUUAGUCAUCGCAAAAGAGGUAUGUUAUCCCUUUUAUUUGGUUAUAUGAGGAGCUGGAUGUCCAUAAAAUAGAGAUUGCAGGAGAGCUAAUUAUCAAGUAACAAUAUUUUGAACAAAGGAAACAACAACAAGAGCAUAAUACAAGUGGGUCAGAGCUAUAUACAAUUGAUAAAAAGGUUUCAUACAUGGAGUGUCAUGAAAAUAAUAGACCCAUUUAUGUUUAUGUGCUAAGCCUGCUAAAGUUAACAAAAAAAAAAAAAAAAAAAAGAUGGCCAGGAUUGCACCUCUAGACUUGCAGAAGGUAUUUCUGUGAGAAGCUUUCUUGCUACUUUUGUGUUCUCUUUAUUACGCGAUGGAUUUCUCGAAUCCUACUCAAGAGAGAGAUAUUCAAAAGCUUAAGUGUUAACUUGAUGAAGGAUGGAUCGUUGUUGCUUGGGGAUGGGUUGACUGGUGAAAUUAUCGUAGUUUGAGGUAACGAAGUCCAUCGUAUUCUUUCAUUUUUUUUUGUCUUCAGGCUGAAGGGGUUUGCAUGACGGGCUUAGGGGAGUUUCUUGGGAAAGGAUUAUGGAUUCAAACUUUGUUUUAAGAUGCAUGUAUAUCUAUAAUUUUGACUUUUAGGUCCAAAGGGCUAGAAAACAACAAGGCUCUUAUGUAAAUUUGAUUCCUCAUGAUUGAAGAAUUUCAUAUUUUUGUUAUGAAUUUUAAAAGGAGUUGCAUUAAAAGUU